rnacentral:rRNA from 1 species
AGCGGAGGAAAAGAAACUAACAAGGAUUCCCCUAGUAACGGCGAGUGAACCGGGAAGAGCUCAAAUUUGAAAUCUGGCGUGCUCAGUGCGUCCGAGUUGUAAUCUAUAGAGUCGUUUUCCGUGCCGGACUGUGUCCAAGUCCCUUGGAACAGGGUAUCAAAGAGGGUGAUAAUCCCGUACUUGACACAAUGACCGGUGCUCUGUGAUACGUCUUCUACGAGUCGAGUUGUUUGGGAAUGCAGCUCAAAAUGGGUGGUGAGUUCCAUCUAAAGCUAAAUAUUGGCGAGAGACCGAUAGCGAACAAGUACCGUGAGGGAAAGAUGAAAAGCACUUUGGAAAGAGAGUUAAACAGUACGUGAAAUUGUUAAAAGGGAAACGAUUGAAGUCAGUCGUGACUGAGAGGCUCAGCCGGUUCUGCCGGUGUAUUCCCCUCAGUCGGGUCAACAUCAGUUUUGUUCGGUGGAUAAGGGCGGUUGGAAGGUGGCACCCUCGGGUGUGUUAUAGCCAACUGUCGCAUACAUCGGAUGAGACUGAGGAAUGCAGCUCGCCUUUAUGGCCGGGGUUCGCCCACGUUCGAGCUUAGGAUGUUGACAUAAUGGCUUUAAACGACCCGUCUUGAACCACGGAC